ensembl:ncRNA ZK945.15 ncRNA
GCUUUUAAAAAAUGAGUUCCUUUGGAGUGAGCUCACAGUUUUCCAUAUAUUAUGGAGACGCAGAAAAAUGCAUGUUUUAAAUCGAGGUGGAAUUGC